rnacentral:rRNA from 1 species
UACGGAGGAUGCAAGCGUUAUCCGGAAUGAUUGGGCGUAAAGGGUCCGCAGGUGGUCAUGCAAGUCUGCUGUCAAAGAAUGAGGCUUAACCUCAUCAAGGCAGUGGAAACUACAUAGCUAGAGUACGGUCGGGGUAGAAGGAAUUCCUGGUGUAGCGGUGAAAUGCGUAGAGAUCAGGAAGAACACCGGUGGCGAAAGCGUUCUGCUAGACCUGUACUGACACUGAGGGACGAAAGCUAGGGGAGCGAAUGGG